rnacentral:other from 1 species
GCGAAUCUGGGAUGUUCGCCAGUUCGUGUAAUUUGAUCCGACAAUUUUGAUUUGGGAUUCCUAUACUAUACUUUAAAGCCAUGCCUCUUUAAGGUGGAAGGCUGCGAUGAUAUAUGCGGAGACCCACCUGGCCUGAUGCCGGGAGUCAUAACUGCGGGCAACGGCAUCUCGGGUUAUUU